UCCGGUUUGUCACCGGCAGUCUCCCUAGAGUUCCCAACUAAAUGAUAGCAACUAAGAACAAGGGUUGCGCUCGUUACGGGACUUAACCCAACAUCUCACGACACGAGCUGACGACAGCCAUGCAGCACCUGUCUCUGCGCUCCCGAAGGCACCCUCCCAUCUCUGGAAGGUUCGCAGGAUGUCAAGACCAGGUAAGGUUCUUCGCGUUGCGUCGAAUUAAACCACAUGCUCCACCGCUUGUGCGGGCCCCCGUCAAUUCAUUUGAGUUUUAACCUUGCGGCCGUACUCCCCAGGCGGUCUACUUAUCGCGUUAGCUGCGCCACCAAGUGAUCAAGUCACCCAACGGCUAGUAGACAUCGUUUACAGCGUGGACUAC
rnacentral:misc_RNA from 1 species